UACGUAGGGACCAAGCGUUGUUCGGAUUUACUGGGCGUAAAGGGCGCGUAGGCGGCGUGUCAAGUCAAUUGUGAAAUCUCAGGGCUUAACCCUGAACGGUCAAUUGAUACUGAUGUGCUAGAGUGCAGAAGGGGCAAUCGGAAUUCUUGGUGUAGCGGUGAAAUGCGUAGAUAUCAAGAGGAACACCUGAGGUGAAGACGGGUUGCUGGGCUGACACUGACGCUGAGGCGCGAAAGCUAGGGGAGCAAACGGG
rnacentral:rRNA from 1 species